CAGUGUCAGGAGAACGGUCUGGAAAGUCCGGCAGUAAAGGGUGAUAGCCCCGUAUCUGAAGAUGCUGUUAUUGUGAACUCGACGAGUAGGGCGGGACACGUGUUAUCCUGUCUGAAUAUGGGGGGACCAUCCUCCAAGGCUAAAUACUCCUGAUUGACCGAUAGUGAACCAGUACCGUGAGGGAAAGGCGAAAAGAACCCCGGCGAGGGGAGUGAAAAAGAACCUGAAACCGUGUACGUACAAGCAGUAGGAGCCUCUUUAUGGGGUGACUGCGUACCUUUUGUAUAAUGGGUCAGCGACUUAUAUUCUGUAGCAAGGUUAACCGUAUAGGGGAGCCGUAGGGAAACCGAGUCUUAACUGGGCGAAUGAGUUGCAGGGUAUAGACCCGAAACCCGGUGAUCUAUCCAUGGGCAGGUUGAAGGUUGGGUAACACUAACUGGAGGACCGAACCGACUAAUGUUGAAAAAUUAGCGGAUGACUUGUGGAUGGGGGUGAAAGGCCAAUCAAACCGGGAGAUAGCUGGUUCUCCCCGAAAGCUAUUUAGGUAGCGCCUCGUGAACUCAUCUUCGGGGGUAGAGCACUGUUUCGACUAGGGGGUCAUCCCGACUUACCAACUCGAUGCAAACUGCGAAUACCGAAGAAUGUUAUCACGGGAGACACACGGCGGGUGCUAACGUCCGUCGUGAAGAGGGAAACAACCCAGACCGCCAGCUAAGGUCCCAAAGUCAUGGUUAAGUGGGAAACGAAGUGGGAAGGCUCAGACAGCCAGGAUGUUGGCUUAGAAGCAGCCAUCAUUUAAAGAAAGCGUAAUAGCUCACUGGUCGAGUCGGCCCGCGCGGAAGAUGUAACGGGGCUAAACCAUGCACCGAAGCUGCGGCAGCGA
rnacentral:rRNA from 1 species